UCUCACCGACCCAAUGGCUUCAUUCGCCUUGCGCGGAGGGGCUCACUAUGCGACCCCAGGUCAGGCGGGGCUACCCGCUGAGUUUAAGCAUAUC
rnacentral:rRNA from 4 species